UACGUAGGGGGCAAGCGUUGUCCGGAAUCAUGGGGCGUAAAGCGCGUGUAGGCGGCUCGAUAAGUCUGCUGUGAAAGUUCAGGGCUCAACCCUGAAAUGCCGGUGGAAACUGUCGAGCUAGAGUCCGGAAGAGGCGAGUGGAAUUCCUGGUGUAGCGGUGAAAUGCGCAGAUAUCAGGAGGAACACCAAUGGCGAAGGCAGCUCGCUGGGACGGUACUGACGCUGAGACGCGAAAGCGUGGGGAGCAAACAGG
rnacentral:rRNA from 1 species